AAACCAACAGGGAUUACCUCAGUAACGGCGAGUGAAGCGGUAACAGCUCAAAUUUGAAAUCUGGCUCUUUCAGGGUCCGAGUUGUAAUUUGUAGAAGCUGCUUUGGGUGCGGUCCGGGUCUAAGUUCCUUGGAACAGGACGUCAUAGAGGGUGAGAAUCCCGUAUGUGACUCGGUGCCUAUCCUAUGUAAAGCGCUUUCGACGAGUCGAGUUGUUUGGGAAUGCAGCUCAAAAUGGGUGGUAAAUUUCAUCUAAAGCUAAAUAUUGGCCAGAGACCGAUAGCGCACAAGUAGAGUGAUCGAAAGAUGAAAAGCACUUUGGAAAGAGAGUUAAACAGUACGUGAAAUUGUUGAAAGGGAAGCGCUUGCAACCAGACUUGUGCCCUAUCGAUCAUCCGAGGUUCUCCCCGGUGCACUCGGUAGGGCUCAGGCCAGUAUCGGUUUUGGUGGUGGGAUAAAGGCUUAGGGAAUGUGGCUUCUCUCGGGAAGUGUUAUAGCCCUAGGUGCAAUGCCGCCUACUGGGACCGAGGACCGCGCUUCGGCUAGGAUACUGGCGUAAUGGUUGUAAGCGACCCGUCUUGAAACACGGACCAAGGAGUCUAACAUCUAUGCGAGUAUUUGGGUGUUAAACCCAUAUGCGUAAUGAAAGUAAACGGAGGUGAGAACCCUUUAGGGUGCAUCAUCGACCGAUCCUGAUGUCUUCGGAUGGAUUUGAGUAAGAGCAUAGCUGUUGGGACCCGAAAGAUGGUGAACUAUGCCUGAAUAGGGUGAAGCCAGAGGAAACUCUGGUGGAGGCUCGCAGCGGUUCUGACGUGCAAAUCGAUCGUCAAAUUUGGGUAUAGGGGCGAAAGACUAAUCGAACCAUCUAGUAGCUGGUUCC
rnacentral:rRNA from 1 species